rnacentral:lncRNA from 10 species
GUGCUUUCAAUCAUUUGGCAAUACUGCUAAGCCUUUAACCAAAUGGAACUUAGAACCCAUUAAAAUUGACGUUUCAAUUCAAUCUAGUCAAAUUGGGGAAAGACAAAAUCAAGAGAAUUAAAACAAUUUUUUCUUAAAGUGUCAUUCUUCCAUAAAAUUUCUUUUAUUAUUUAUUUAUUCAUUUUUAAAACAGAGUCUUGCUCUGUCGCCCAGGCUGGAGUGCAGUGGUGCGAUCUCAGCUCACUGCAACCUCUGCCUCCCAGGUUAAAGCUAUUUUUGUGCCUGAGCCUCCUGAGUAGUUGGGAUUACAGGCAUGUGCCACUACAUCCAGCUAAUUUUUUGUAGUUUUAGUAGAGAUGAGGUUUCACCAUGUUGGCCAGCCUGGUCUCGAACUCCUGGCCUCGAGUGAUCCGCCCACUCCGGCCUCCAAAAGUGCUGGGAUUACAAGUGUGAGCCAUUAUGUCCGGCCCAUAAAAUUUCUUUAAAAUUCCAUUUUAAGUUGAAAUUUUAAUUAUUUCCAGAAAUUAGACAUAUUGCCAUUACCUAAAUAUUUUAUAGUAAGCAGGGAAAGGCAGUAACAGCAUUUUGAAUAAUAAACCCUAUUUGUCAACGACUACCUUCUCGUCCUACAAGAUAUCAUCUAAUUCUCCUUCAAGACCUAGAUUUUGUAUCCAUUGGUAAAACAUUUUAUAUUUUAAAACUGCAGUUUUAUUAUCUCUUUGGAAUAUAACUUAUGAAUCUAAGUUUAUUAAUUUUCAUAUAGCUUACCAUAAUCCAUAAAGCUGUUUCUAAAAAAUAACUAAUGACAGAGGCUGAGCUAUCUGAAGAAUUGUUUUGGGAGAGAGGAUUGUUAGAUUUUAGAUACACUGACUUUGUCAAGUGAUAGGACUCAUAAAAAGAACCAUUUAAGAAAGAAUAAAAAAUGGAAAAAAGAAAACAGCAAAAAUCAAAAACAACAACCAGAAAAUAAAGAUGAUGCUUAGUCAAAAAGACAAGGCUAAAGACAUAUUUUGAAAAUAAUGGAAGCUCUGAGAAUAAAUGAGAAAAGGGUCAGGAGCUAGAAUAGUGUCUGGCACAAAGUUAAUGCUCCAUAAAUAUCUGUUGAACAAAUGAACAAUCAAACCUUAGUUCUAUAAUUUAAAGAGUAGGAAUGAAAAGUAAUGGUGAGAGGGGUAGAAGACUUAGAACUUAAUAUAUUUUGUUAAAUUAUUUCUAUUAGCAAAGUAGGGAUAUAUUAGAAAAUAAAAAUACAAACUUGGUGUUGAAGUAUACUAGUUUUUCAAUCUAAGAUUUAUUUUUGUAAUUAUACGUAACCUAAUAUAAUGCAUUCUCUGAAGUUCUUAAGAUUUCUAAAAUUUAAUUGCUAGUAACUGAGAAAAAGUCUCAUUUCAAAGUUGUAGACUAUAUUCUGGUUUGCAAGUUCAGAAGACUUGAGUAGCUGGGAUUACCAGGCAUACACCAUCACAAAUACUUUGUUUUAAAAAUUUUUUGUAGUGAUGGGGUCUCGCCACGUUGUCCAGUCUGGUCUCAAACUCCUGGGCUCAAGCAAUCCACCUGCCUCAGCCUCCCAAGGUGUUAGGAUUACAGGCAUGAGUCACCACAUUCAGCCUGAAUUAAAACAAUUUUUUCUUAAAGUAUCAUUCUUCCAUAAAAUUUCUUUUAUUAUUUAUUUAUUCAUUUUUAAAACAGAGUCUUGCUCUGUCACCCAGGCUGGAGUGCAGCGGUGCGAUCUCAGCUCACUGCAACCUCUGCCUCCCAGGUUCAAGCUAUUUUUGUACCUGAGCCUCCUGAGUAGUUGCCUUUGAAGCAUAUUAUUAAUUUUGUUUUUGCUUUUCUUUCUUUCUUUUUUUUUUUUCUUUUAGAGAGUGUCUCACUCUGUUGCCCAGGCUGGAAUGCAGUGGCAUAUGAUCAUAGCUCAUUGCAGCCUCAACCUCCCUGGGCUCAAGUGGUCCUCCCACCUCAGCCUCCUGAGUAGAGCUGGGACUACAGACACAUGCCACCACACCCUGCUAAUUUUUAUAUUUGUUUAUACAGACAGGGUUUUGCUAUGUUGCCCAGCCUGGUCUUGAACUCCUGGGCUUAAGCGAUCUGCCUGCCUCAGCCUCCCAAAGUGCUGUGAUUACAGGUGUGAGCC